rnacentral:rRNA from 1 species
UAUAGAUAACCUGCCCUCUAGAAAGGAAUAACAGUUGGAAACGACUGCUAAUGCCCUAUAUGCCUUUAAUACAUAAGUAUGCAAGGGAAACGCUUUAGUGCUAGAGGAUGGGUCUGUAUGGUAUCAGUUAGUUGGUGAGGUAAUGGCUCACCAAGACUAUGACGCCUAACUGGUUUGAGAGGAUGAUCAGUCACACUGGAACUGAGACACGGUCCAGACUCCUACGGGAGGCAGCAGUGGGGAAUAUUGCACAAUGGACGAAAGUCUGAUGCAGCAACGCCGCGUGGAGGAUGACACAUUUCGGUGCGUAAACUCCUUUUAUAUAGGAAGAUAAUGACGGUACUAUAUGAAUAAGCACCGGCUAACUCCGUGCCAGCAGCCGCGGUAAUACGGAGGGUGCAAGCGUUACUCGGAAUCACUGGGCGUAAAGAGCGUGUAGGCGGAUAUAUAAGUCAGAAGUGAAAUCCAAUAGCUUAACUAUUGAACCGCUUUUGAAACUGUGUAUCUAGAAUGUGGGAGAGGUAGAUGGAAUUUCUGGUGUAGGGGUAAAAUCCGUAGAGAUCAGAAGGAAUACCGAUUGCGAAGGCGAUCUACUGGAACAUUAUUGACGCUGAGACGCGAAAGCGUGGGGAGCAAACAGGAUUAGAUACCCUGGUAGUCCACGCCCUAAACGAUGCACACUAGUUGUUGUGAGGCUAGACCUUGCAGUAAUGCAGUUAACACAUUAAGUGUGCCGCCUGGGGGAGUACGGUCGCAAGAUUAAAACUCAAAGGAAUAGACGGGGACCCGCACAAGCGGUGGAGCAUGUGGUUUAAUUCGACGAUACACGAAGAACCUUACCUGACUUGACAUAGU